GAUGAACGCUAGCUACAGGCUUAACACAUGCAAGUCGAGGGGAAACGACAUCGAAAGCUUGCUUUUGAUGGGCGUCGACCGGCGCACGGGUGAGUAACGCGUAUCCAACCUGCCCAUCACUUGGGAAUAACCUUGCGAAAGUAAGACUAAUACCCAAUGAUAUCCCACGAAGGCAUCGGAAUGGGAUUAAAGAUUUAUCGGUGAUGGAUGGGGAUGCGUCUGAUUAGCUUGUUGGCGGGGUAACGGCCCACCAAGGCAACGAUCAGUAGGGGUUCUGAGAGGAAGGUCCCCCACAUUGGAACUGAGACACAGUCCAAACUCCUACGGGGGGCAGCAGUGAGGAAUAUUAGGCAAUGGGGGAGGGCCUGAACCAGCCAAGUAGCGGGCAGGAAGACGGCCCUAUGGGUUGUAAACUGCUUUUAUAAGGGAAUAAAGUGGGUCACGUGUGACUUUUUGCAUGUACCUUAUGAAUAAGAACCGGCUAAUUCCGUG
rnacentral:rRNA from 1 species